UACGUAGGGGGCAAGCGUUGUCCGGAUUUAUUGGGCGUAAAGAGCGUGUAGGCGGCCUUACAGGUCAGCUGUGAAAACUCGAGGCUCAACCUCGAGACGUCGGUUGAAACCGUAUGGCUAGAGUCCGGAAGAGGAGAGUGGAAUUCCCGGUGUAGCGGUGAAAUGCGCAGAUAUCGGGAAGAACACCCGUGGCGAAGGCGGCUCUCUGGGACGGUACUGACGCUGAGACGCGAAAGCGUGGGGAGCAAACAGGG
rnacentral:rRNA from 1 species